ACCCGUGUAGCAAAGUGGUAUUGCGUCUCCCUUCUACAACUCGGGUGAGACAGGAGAAGGUCCAGGGUUCAACCCCCUGCAUGGGUG